CCAGCGGAAGGAUCAUUACCGAGACUUACCCGGACGGCCCCGGGACCGUCCACCUGGCGGCCCGGCCCGUUUGGGCGCUUCGUCGCCCCCAUCCCGUGUGAACCGCCACCCGUGUUGCCUCGGCGGUUGUCCCCCGUGUCGCCCCUCGGAUGCUCCCCCCCAUCCUCGGUGCCCUCAGGUGCCUCGGGGGGUUGCUCCCGGUCCGACUUUGGGGGGACGCCUCCCCCGCCGAGUGCUGUUUCCAGUUGGAACAUGCUGCCUAUCCGUCAACGGUGAAUCUGGUCAGAGGUUGAUCGCAAAUGAAGAAGCAAAACUUUCAACAACGGAUCUCUUGGUUCCGGCAUCGAUGAAGAACGCAGCGAAAUGCGAUAAGUAAUGUGAAUUGCAGAUUUCAGUGAAUCAUCGAAUCUUUGAACGCAUAUUGCGCCCCUCGGAAUUCCGACGGGCAUACCUGUUCGAGCGUCAUUGGCACUCCUGUUCCAGCUGGUGUCCCAGCUGGGUCUUGGGCGCUGUCGCCCGCGACACGCCCCAAAGGCAACGCCGACCCGUCGCCGGGGGCCAUCGAGCGCAGUAAAUAUUCCAGUUGACUUUCGGUUGGAUCUCGCUCGGCCGGCCACCCGCGACGCGGUCUGGUCCUCGGGCAGGCUCCCAGGAGAGUCUGCCCCCGUUAUCACCUACGUGGACCUCGAAUCAGGUAAGGAUACCCGCUGAACUUAAGC
rnacentral:rRNA from 1 species